ACAAUAAUGAUUCUUCUAAGUUACACGUCAUUUCAGUUUUAUCAAAGUCGUUUCAUUUAUUGGAUUCUGAAAUAUAAAUCAAGUUCGUUAAUAUGAGACUGUUAAAAUAUAGAUGGAAGUUUAAGAUUUCUUUUUAGCAAUUUGGUAUUUGAUAUACCUGAAUUGAAAAUCUAGUUCUAAAGGCCACUGACAGUUCAGAUUACUGUAAAAAAUAGAAACAGUUCAUGUGUACAUUGCAUGUGUUUUAUGUAAAGCUGUUCUGCUUUCUGUCCAUCAGCUCUUGCUAACCAUUUCAGUACUUCUGCAUUUGGGCUUAUUAGAUCUGAUGGUGGGUGGUGCUCAUAUUCUUAAAACAUCUUAAGAUAUAAGCAUACAUAUAGUGAACAGCGUUUUAGUUAACAAUAGGUUGCUCAAG
rnacentral:lncRNA from 1 species